CACGUAGGCGGACUGGAAAGUCAGUGGUGAAAGCCCAUCGCUCAACGGUGGAACGGCCAUUGAUACUGCUAGACUUGAAUUAUUAGGAAGUAACUAGAAUAUGUAGUGUAGCGGUGAAAUGCUUAGAGAUUACAUGGAAUACCAAUUGCGAAGGCAGGUUACUACUAAUGGAUUGACGCUGAUGGACGAAAGCGUGGGUAGCGAACAGGAUUAGAUACCCUAGUA
rnacentral:rRNA from 1 species